rnacentral:misc_RNA from 1 species
AUAAAAUUGCACCAAAUUUUCCGCGAUUUACUGGAUCUUUCUUCUCCGUUGACAUCGAAAGAUAGUAGUUUCUUCUGCCAGAUUUCUUUCAAAGCCCUCCUAUCUUUCCAUUCUUUUCUUUCUUUCAAUUCUGAAAAUUGCAAGCUAUGGGUAACAUCUGCCCUUGUCAAGUUCAAUGCGGAGAUUCCUUCAUCAAUCGCUGCUGGGACUGUACUUCUGGACAAGCAGAGUACAUAUGCCAACUUGAAGAUAAUCUUGAAGCUUUGCAGAUUGCAAGGGAAGAAUUAAGGGAGUUAAAGGAGGAUGUGAUACGAAGGCUUGGUAUUGAGGAAGGAGGGCAUAUGAAGCGGCUGGAACAAGUUCAAGGGUGGCUUUUAAGGGUGGAAGCUAAGAUAACUGAGGUCGAUAAGCUGAUUCAAGAUGGUCCACAACAAAUUCAGAAAUUGUGUCUUGGAGGGUGUUGCUCCAAGAAUCUCAAAUCCAGCUACAUUUUUGGGAAAAGGGUUGCUAGAAGACUGCAAAAUGUGGUUGAUCUAAAAAGCAAAGGAGAUUUCAAGGUACUGGUCGAGAGGUCUGCUGGAGAACCAGUGAUCGAAAGGCUUAUCGAGCCAACAAUGGGCCUGGAAGGUAUGUUGGAUAAAGUGUGGAAUUGCAUGAUAGAAGAAGAAGUAGGACUUGUCGGCAUAUAUGGUAUGGGGGGAGUUGGUAAAACUACCCUCUUGACCCAAAUCAAUAACAAGUUCCUCGACACACCCCAUGAUUUUGAUGUUGUGAUUUGGGUAGUGGUGUCAAAAGAUUUGAGACUUGAGAAAGUUCAAGAAGAAAUUGCCAAAAAGAUAGGCCUUUCAAGUGAUGGGCAAUGACAAUAUAAAAGCUUUAAUGAGAAAGCUGUGAAAUCUUCAAUGUAUUGCGGAAAAAGAAGUUUGUAUUGCUAUUAGAUGAUAUAUGGAAGCGAAUUGAGCUUAAAGAUGUUGGGGUUCCUCUCUCGAAAAGACAGAACAGGUCCAAGAUAUUGUUUACAACACGUUCCAAGGCUGUGUGUAGUAAUAUGGAGGCUGAAAAGAUAAUUAAAGUUGAACCGUUGGUAUGGGAAAAAGCUUGGGAAUUGUUUCAGGAGAAGGUUGGGGCAGACACACUUGGUGCGGAUCCAGAUAUUCCUGGCGUAGCUGAAGAUGUGGCUAGAGAAUGUGCUGGUUUGCCACUCGCACUCAUCACCAUUGGUCGUGCCAUGGCCUGCAAGAAAAUGCCACAAGAGUGGAGGUAUGCCGUUGAGAUGUUGAGAAAAUCCGCCUCAAAUAUGCAAGGUAUGGAGGAUGAAGUAUUUCCAAUUUUGAAGUUCAGUUAUGAUAAUUUACCCAAUUAUAAAGUCAAAUCAUGUUUUCUGUAUUGUACUCUGUUCCCGGAGGACUACAAAAUUUCCAAGGAUGGGUUGAUAGAGCGUUGGAUUUGUGAGAAAUUUUGGGAUGAUGGCGUUAAUCAAGUGGACGAGUUCAAUGAGGGGUAUACUAUUAUUGGUAUGCUUGUUCAUGCAUGUUUAUUGGAAGAUGAUGGCAGUUCUGUAAAAAUGCAUGAUGUGAUUCGUGAU